rnacentral:rRNA from 1 species
UAACGCGAAGAACCUUACCUGGGCUUGACAUCUGGUGCUAUCCGGUGAAAGUCGGAGUUCCCUUCGGGGACGCCAAGACAGGUGCUGCAUGGCUGUCGUCAGCUCGUGUCGUGAGAUGUUGGGUUAAGUCCCGCAACGAGCGCAACCCCCAUCUUUAGUUGCUAACAGGUCAAGCUGAGGACUCUAGAGAAACUGCCUACGUAAGUAGAGAGGAAGGCGGGGACGACGUCAAGUCAUCAUGGCCCUUACGCCCAGGGCUACACACGUGCUACAAUGGUAGGUACAAUGAGACGCCACUUGGUAACAAGGCGCAAACCUCAAAAAGCCUAUCUCAGUUCGGAUUGAGGUCUGCAACUCGACCUCAUGAAGCUGGAUUCGCUAGUAAUCGGAUAUCAGCAAUGAUCCGGUGAAUACGUUCCCGGGGUCUUGUACACACCG